UCCUGGACUGCUUUUAUGUUGUGAUGGGAAAGGCUGCAAAAGAAGCUACCAUCUUUCUUGUCUGGAUCCACCUCUGCAAAGUAUUCCUCCUGGCCUUUGGCUUUGUAUAUGUUGCGUGAAAAAAAAGAUAGAGUUUGGGGUACACUCGGUAUCUAAAGGGAUUGAAUCCAUUUGGGAUGUUAAAGAGGGAAUGCAGAAUGGCAAGGUUUAUCUUGUCAAGUAUGAAGGUGUUUCCCAUGUCCAUAACCAUUGGAUUCCGGAAAGCCAGAUGCUUCUUGAAGCUCCUACACUUGUAUCUAAAUUUCAUAGGAGAUAUCAGAAAGAGAAGGUCAUAAGAUGGAAGCAAGAAUGGACUGAGCCUCACAGGUUGUUGCAGAAAAGGUUGCUGAUGCCCUGAAAUUAGCUGAUGAGUUUUUUGUGGGCUUGGUAAUAAUAUUUCAUAUUGUUAUCAUGAGUGGUUUGUGAAAUGGAAAGGUCUUGAUUAUGAGCAUGCUACAUGGGAGUUUGAAAACUCACCAUUUUUAUGCUCAUCUGAUGGGAAGAUGCUUAUAAAAGAUUAUGAGACUCGGCGCGAGGAGGCAAAGAAAGCCUCUGAUCCUUCAAGAAUUGAGAAGGUAGGUUUGAUAAGAUUGAUUUU